UCAGUCUGAGUCCAAAAGCCUCAAAAGCAGGGAAGCUGACAGUGUAGCCUUCAGUUUGUUGCUGAAGGCCUGAAAGGCCUUGACAAAUCACUGGUGUAAGUUCAAGAAUCCAAAGGUCAAAGAACCUUAAGUCUGGUGUCCAAGGGCAGGAGGACUGGAAGGAAGCAUUAAGCACAGGAGAAAGAUGAAAACCACAAGACUCACCAUGUAAGAAGUGCCUUUUGCCUUCCAUCAUUAUUCUGAGGCUUCCCAGCCAGGUGGAACUGCUCAUAGGCAGAAGGGACUUGCUUUGUCACAGAUGAGCCUUUGAACUAUGGACUUUUGGGUUAUGCUGAAAUGAGGUACAACUUUUGGGGGCUUUCAGAAAGGCAAUAUUGGUUUUAAAAUGUGAGGACAUGAGAUUUGGAGGGGCCAAGGGAAAGAUGAUAUGGUUUGGCUCUGUGUCCCUACCCAAAUCUCAUCUUGAAUUGUACUCCCGUAAUUCCCACAUGUUGUGUGAGGGACCUGGUGGGAGAUAAUUUGUAUCAUUGGGUCGGUUUCCCCCAUACUUUUCUCAUGGUAGUGAUUUAGUUUCACAAGAUCUGAUGGUUUUAUCAGGGGUUUCUGCUUUUGCAGCUUCCUCAUUUUGUCUUACCACAGCCAUGUAAGAUUUGCCUUUUGGUUCCCACCAUGAUUCUGAGGCCUCCCAGUAAUGUGGAACUGUAUGUCCCAUUAAACCUCUUUUUCUACCCAAUCUUGGAUAUGUCUUUAUCAGCAGCAUGAAAUUGGACUAAUACAGAGGCCGAAAAGUCCUACAGUCUGCCACCAGCAGGCUAGACACCAGGGGAGCCAGUGGUAUAGUGCCAGUCCUAAUCCAAAGGCUUGAAAACCAGGAGGGCUGAUGAUAUAAGGUCGGGUCUGAAUUAAGGGGAAAAACAAUGUCUCAGGUUGAAGACAGCAAGGAUAAAGAAUUCUUUGUUUCUCCACAGUUUGGUUCUAUUUAAACCCUCAGUGGAUUGGAUGAUGGCCACACAUAUUGGGUUGGGCAACCUGCUUUACUCAGUCUAUGGACUCAAAUGCUAAUUUUAUCCAGGACGCUCUCAAAGACACACUUAGAAAUAAUGUUUAACCAAGUAUCUGGGCAUCCCAUGGCCCACCCAAGUUGACAAACAAAAUUACCAUCACAAAAAUUAUAAGGCACCAAAUCAUGUGCAAUCUGCUUUCUAGUAUCUGUCAAAUUUAUCUGUUCUCCCCUUCCAUGGUGCCUCUUCUUUUAAUUCAGUUCCCCAAAUCCAAUCCCUCUCUCUCUCUCCCUCUCUCUCUCUCUCUCUCUCUCUCUCUCUCUCUCUCUCUCUCUCUCCAGCUUCCUAAAUUAUAUCCUUGCCCUCCUUUUGCUAAUUUUCUACAGGCGGUGUUAUGGAAAAUCAUGUGGCGCAAUGGCAAGAGAGCUGGUCUGAAUAAGCCUAACGAGUUGUUAGACCUUCUGCAAGUCGUUCCGGCUUUCCCAGUUUCCAUGUUUCAUUAAAGAAAUCAUUUAUGUGCAAGUUUUGUCACAUAAAUGGCAUAAAUUUAUCUCAAAGUUUUGCAAACUGUUGGAAACCAUACAAACAUAACAUAAGAAUGAUAUAUUCCUGUAUAUACGUUAGUUUCUGUACUUUGAGAAUGGAACCUGAAAGCACCUAGACACUGCUUUGGAUGCAGAAUUUGAAUCUUCUCAUUCUGUCUCUCAGAGUUAGGGACAUGUGUUGCGUUAUCUUGGAGAAGUUAAAUUUUAUUUGUUCUUUUAAGAAGAAAAGGUAUAUCACAUAUGCUCAGUGUACCAAUUUUUAUAUAUCACACAUGCUCAGUAUACCAAUUUUUAUAAUCAUCUUAUGCAGGCAUUAUAUUCUGGAGUAGCAGUAGUGCAUGGUGCUUAAAAAUAUGGACUUGGAGGCAGACUUCCUGGCUUCAACUUAGUACUUGGCUGUGUGAUUUUGGUUUAGUGUACUCCCUAAACCAAGUUUUAGUUUCUUUAAUUUCAAAAUAGAGGUAAUAUUUUCUUAGGGUUAUCAUAAAAAUUAAGUAAGAUCAGGUUUGUGCAAUGGAAAUUUAUUUUAAUAACUCAAUUUGGUUUGUUUUUAAACCUCCCACUCCACCUGCUGUAAAUUAAUCUGAGCCCUUUGUAGACUGUCUCUCUACUCUCAGAGUUGUUCCAGGUUCUAGACCACUGCUCUUAACAGAUAUAUAAUGUAAGUUGUAUGUGUAACUUCAAAUUUUCUAGAAACCACAUUUUAAAAACUUAGAAGAAACACAUGAAUUUAAUUUUGAGGAUAUAUUUUAUUUAAUUUAAUAUAUUUAAAUAUGACUAUUUCAACAUAUAAUCAAUAUCAAAAAUUAAUGAAGAGCUUUACAUUAAUUGUUUUGUUUGAAGUGAUUGAAGGCUGAUGUGUAUUUUAUGUAACACAUUACAAUUCAGACUAGUCACAUUUCACAUGCUAAGUAGCACAUUUGGCUCAUGGCUAAUGUAUUGGAUAGCAGAGUUCCAGACUCUCAGACAACAGCCAGUUGUUUGAGAAGGAGGGAGGGGUAUGUGAGGUCACACUGGUUACUGCUGAGAUCCUUCACUCCCCUGACCCAUAUUUCUCCUCCUGCUAUGACUUUCUAAUUAAAUUAGGUGAAAGAAAAGCAAGACAUACAGAGGAAAACAAAAAUUACUAUCUCAAAACAUCAUCUCAUCACAGGUAUUUACUUCAGUGCCUACUGUUACCAAACAAACGUGAGCAACUAACAAAUGUUAAUCAUUAUUAUAACUAAAAUCUUUUUCAUAUUAUCAUAUUCUCAUUUGAGGUUCAUUUCCUCAUUAAUAUGUUCCUCUGGACUUACAAUGUAUAGUUUUCCAGAAUAAGAUCAAGAAGCUCUUAAUCUUGCAUAACUCUGCUUUAUAACCCAAGCCUUCUUUGUUUUCAGGAAACAACUGGAGAAAGAGACAAUUUUAUUAAUGUAGUGAGUCACUGUUCAUUAAAAAGUAAAGACAUUAAAAAUAGCAUUCCUCACAAGCAUGUCUUUUUUAUUUUAUUAUUUUUUUAUUGCAUUUUAGGUUUUAAAUACCUUUCAGAACUCUCUUUUAGGGGUUGUUCUGUGCUAUUUUAAAAUACACAUUAGAAUUAGAAUAAAAUGUAUUUGAUCUUGGAAACCCAGACCUCAUGUUGUAUUAGUCUUUUAUACCUUUGCAUUUCCCACAUAUCAUUUGUGGAACUCUCAGUUAAGGGAGUGUUAAAUGAAUUAAUUACACAUAAGGCUCUUAGAAGUCUUUAGAGGCAGGACUAUCACGUGGUAAGUACCCAAUAUCAAUCAAGUGCUGCUCAGACACUAAUUUUUUUUAAUUACUGAAGUAAUCCUACGAAGUAACUAUUAUUAAAAUCCUUUUUUUUAUAGAUUAGAAAACUAAGUAGGGAAGAGUAAGUAAGUAGCCCCUGGGCACAGAGAUGGUAAAUGAAGCAGUGAUCAAGCCCAGGUAGCCUGACUCUAAAACCCACCCUCUCCAUUAGGCUCUACACUCUCCCUGGGCUCUGUGACCCAAAGUGUAAGAGGCAGAGAGCCUUUAUCCAUUCAAUUCACUUGUAGGCUCUGAGUAGUAAAUUUAUAUACUUUGAUUAACGCAAAUUGAUGAAAUCAUUACUUGAUAUAUGCAACUUCUUUACUGGGUAUGCUCUCUUAAAUAGAAGAUGUAUAUAUGCCAUGCUUAUAUGGUGUAUAUAUACCUAAAUCACCUAUGUUUAUAUUUAUGCUCUUCCUUGCUGAUGGAAAGGUCAGGAAACUCAAUCUGACUUCCACUUGUAGUAAUGAUGACAAGGUCAUUUGGAUUAACCCUUUUGCACACUGGAAUGGACAAACAGGAAGAAAAUUAACAAACACAGACAUUCACAGCAACCUGGAUGAAUUGCUCAGACACACAUUGAGUAAAAAAAAUGUCAGACACAAAAUAAUAUAAACUGUAUGAUUCUACUUAUAUAUAAACAAAACUAAACUAUUGUGUUUAGGGAUAUAUGUUUAGAUGGGAAAACAGUAAAGGAAACAGAUAUUUGAAUAUCAGAAAAGUCAAUGUUGUGAUUCUCUUAAGUGAAAAAGAGGAUAUCAUGAAAGCAGGGAUCACAAGAUGGGGCUUCUAAAGAGUGGCAACUUUCUAUUUCUUGACUUGGGUAAUGGUUACACAAUUUUUUGCUUUAUGAUAGUUUUUUAAGCUGACAUUUAAGUUUUCUCUAUGUUUUAUAUUUAGCGAUUAAAAUGUCUGGAAAGGAACGUGAGGAAAGUAGCACAACCAUUAAGUAGUGAAGAAUCCCACAUUAGUGAUGACAUCUAUACAAUGAUGAAUAAUUGGAAAAUAUAAGUUAAGGUUUCUCCGUUGUGAUUGGUCAGGAGGAUCCCCUACAACAGAAUCACUAAGGGGAAUUUUAAAGGUGCAAGUUCCCAUGAUAUCUUCAAACUAGAUUCUUACUCAUUUAUUCACCAUUAUUUGUUUAGCCCCUGUUACGUGCCAGGCCCUGUAGGUGCCAAGGAUACUGCAGUGAACAAAAUGGACAAAUCCUUAAUCAUGUGGAGCUUAUAGUCUAAUAGGACUUCAGAAGGAAUCUCCAUUUUUACAAGAUUUCUGUGUGAUUCUAAAUAUGAGAACAACUGGCCUAUGCUCUAAGCUUUUCUUAAAUCAUUCCCAUUCUGCACUUGAAAGAGUCAUAUGAAUAAAGUUAGAAUUUAAAGAAAACUAGUCUAUCACAGCACAGAAAUUUAAAGCACUUUUGUAUAAGUUUUAAAAAUUUAAGUUAUAACAGUUUAAUAAUUUAAAUAGAACCACCUUCAGGAACAUAUAUACACAAACAAAAACUCAAGCAAUUUAGUUGAAUGGUAUAUUAAAAUGCAUCAAAUUAUUUGAAAUCCUCCAAAAUGGGCUCAAGUUCAUGAAUAUGAAAAGAUAAGUUUGAAGUACUAUGGACAAAAGUAAAAUAGAAAGUCAAUACUUUGCAUUGACCAAUAAGAUAACAGCCUGUGGAUACAUUAGCCCUUUACGAGAACACUUCUAAGAAACAUUAGAAUGCAAAAUCAUUAAAAAAGAACAUAAAUUGUUUCAUGAUACAUUUACAGCUAACAAUUUCUUUGGUUCACCAAGGCUUACUUGCUUUUACCUUAGAAUACCAAACACAAGUUGAGGGUUCAGAAUAAGAAAUUAAUUACUGGGUACAAUGUAUGUUAUUUAGGUGAAGAAUCCCUCCAAAAUCCUGACUUGACCAAUAUGCAUCUAUGCAUGUAACAAAAUUACAAAAUUGUGUAAUUUUGUGCACAAAAAGGAAGUAAGUAAAUAAAAUCCUUAGCUAACACACUCAAAAGAAGAAAGACCUGUGGAGAAAAUAAUUCUUUUUCUAAUCAUCCUUCAAACCUUCAGGUCCCAGUUCACUGUCAUUAAUCUUUUGAGAUUUAAAAUUAUUCCACCCCCACAUUUUCAGUGUGUGUGUGUGUGUGUGUGUGUGUGUGUAUUCUUAGCAUAAAUGGAACUUUGUAAGCAAUUGAUUCUUUAAAGAUAUAAUAAAGAAAUUUCCCUGGUUUUAUUUUAAUUCUUUCUCCAUGACUCAGCCUGGAGAGCUAAAAUUUUAUUCAGGGGAUACAAGAGCUUUUAAAUUCCAAGUAGUAUUCUUAAUCUCUAACAAAGGAAUCUAAGUGACAUUAAAACAAAUAAAACAACAAUCAUAUCAACAAAACUCAACAAAGAUAUGAGAUCACUUUAUUUAAAAAUAUCUUGUUCACUGUAGACAACCUUCUUGAUAUAAAAUGAUAGAACUGAAUAUCUUCUAAGAUCUGUAAACAAAACAGGAAAAAAUUCCUGGCCUGAUGAUGCUUACAUGCUACUGUAUGUAUAUAAAGGGGAAGUGGGAAGGCAGUCAUAAACAAAAUUUAAAAGUAGUCGUUAGAAAGUGGAGAAACACUGUGUUUCAUUAACAGAGUCAGGCUUCAGAAGGUGGAUGAUAAGAAACAUCUAGGAGUUGAAGGAACUUGUUCUAACCCAAUGCAAAGAAACUAAGAACUUUGAAAAAAGGUUUGAUGAAAUGCUAACAAGAAUAGAUAAUAUAGAGAGGAAUAUAAGUGAAUUAAUGGAGUUUAAAAAUACAACACGAGAACUUCAAAGUAUGCACAAGUUUUAACAGCCAAAUUGAUCAAGCAGAAGAAAGGAUAUCAGAGGUUGAAGACCAACUUAAUGAAAUAAAACGAGAAGACAAGAAUAGAGUAAAAAGGAUAAAAAGGAAUGAGCAAAGUCUCCAAGAAAUCUGGGACUAUGUGAAAAGACCUAAUCUACGUUUGAUAGGUGUACCUGAAUGCCACAUAGAGAAUGAAUCCAAGCUGGAAAAUACUCUUCAGGAUAUUAUUCAGGAAAACUUUCCCAACCUAGCAAGGAAGAACAAUAUUCAACUCCAGGUAAUAUAGAGAACAACAAAGAUAUUCCUCAAGAAGAGCAACCCCAAGGCACAUAAUCGUCAGAUUCACCAGGGUUGAAAUGAAGGAGAAAAAUACUAAGGGCAGCCAGAAAGAAAGGUCAGGUUACCCACAAAGGGAAGCCUAUCAGACUCACAGCAGAUCUCUCAGCAGAAACCCUACAAGCCAGAAGAGAGUGGGGACCAAUAUUUAACAUCCUUAAAGAAAAGAACUUUCAACCCAGAAUUUCACAUCCAGCCAAGCUAAGCUUUACAAUUGAAGGAAAAAUAAAAUCUUUUGUGAAUAAGCAAGUACUCAGAUUUCAUUACCACCAGGCCUGCUUUACAAGAGCUUCUGAAAAAAGCAUUACACAUAGAAAGGAACAACCAGUAUUAGCCUUUCUAAAAAUAUACCAAAAAGUAAAGAGUAUCAACAUAAUGAAGAAUUUAUAUCAACUAAUGGGCAAAAUAGCCAGCUAACAUCAAAUGGCAAUAAUUUUAAAUUUAAAUUGACUAAAUCCCCCAAUCAAAAGAUACAGCCAAAACCCAUCAGUAUGCUGCAUCCAGACCCAUCUUACAUGCAAGGAGACAUAAAGAGUCAAAACAAAUGGAUGGAGAAAGAUUUGUCAACCAAAUGGAGAGCAAUAAAUAAAUAAAAAGCAGAGAUUGCAAUUCUCACCUCUGAUGGAAUUUAUUUUAAAGCAACAAAGAUCAAAAGAGGACAUAAUGGUAAAAGGAUCAACACAACAAGAGCUGACGAUCCUGGAUGUAUACCCACCCAAUACAGGACACGUAAGACUUGUAAAGAGACUUGGACUUCCACACAGUAGUAGUGGGAGAUUUCAACAUCAAUAUUAGAUAGAUCAAUGAGAUUAAAAUUAAUAAGGAUAUCCUGGACUUGAACUCAGAUCUGGAACAAGUAAACUUAAUAAACAUUUAUAGAACUCUCCACUUUACACACACAAGAUAUGCAUUUUUAUCAGUACCACAUCACACCUACUCACAGGUUUAAAUGAAAUAUUGGUUGGCCAUUAUUAAGCACAACUGAUGGUAUAAGGGAGGUUUUCAAUACCCAUUUUUAGACUGCAUUCUACCCUGGGCAAUUAAGCAACACUCCUGUUCUCUCUCCCUCCUCCUCUUCCUCUUUUUUCCUCUUCUUCAUUCCAUUUUUUUCUUUCUUUCUCUCUUUCUUUUCAAAAAAAAGAAAGUGAGGAAAUUGGAGUAUAAUAAUUGCUAUAGACAAAAUAUAAAUUGCUAUAUACAAAAAUAUUGCUAUAGACAAAAUAUAGUAAUUGCUAUAGGCAAAAGUAAAGUAGGCUUUGAAAGAGGGAGUUGGGGGUAAGAAUAAGAUUUGAAAUUUUACAUAGAUUGGUUAGAGAAGCCCUCAAGGAGAAACUGACAUUUCAGUAAAAACCAAGAAUAUGAUAUAGCUCACUUUUUAGUUCAGACAUUUUAAAUUUCAAUAAAUUCUAUAGCUUUUUCAUUAAAAAAAAAAAAAAAAAAAAAACUUGUAAGAGGCGAGAGUGAACUGCUAUGAUGUCUGAGAGCAGAGCAUUCCAGACAUGGGUAUUCAGAUUUGCAAGAGCCAGGCCUGGGGUGGAAGCAUGUACUUGGUCACUUCUGAGAACCUCAGCUGUAAAAUGAAUUAUUAAUUCACCCCACCCCCCACCCCUGAGUGAUUUAAAGGUUAUAUGAGGUAAUGGAGUUAGUCAUGGAUGUGAAAUCUGACAUAGAAUUUCCAAUUUUAAAUUUACAAGUCAUUUGCUUAAUAUCUAAUAUACACCAAAUACUGAGCGUGUAACUACAAACAAUAACUAUUUUAUGAUAUGAAGGAAAUUAUAAUCUUAUUUUAGAGACAAUGGUCAAGGGGUAAUUUUGAUAUGUGGUAUUUUCUAAAAUAAAUUUAGGGUAUUAAGGGACAUACGCAGAGUAGAAAAUAUAAUUCACAUUUUUUGGAUGAGAAACUGAAAUAUACAGAUAUUAAUUGAUGUGGCAAAGGAUGGUGGAUGUGUUUUGAACCCUGGUUUUCUGACUUGUGCUUACAUCAAAUCCUUCUAGUAUAAUCAUCUCCUUGGCUAGCAGGUGCAAACAAAUGAAGCCUAGAACCAAAUUCAUUAUUCCUCAUUGCUCCUGCUACCAUUUUAUCUGCUGCAGCCUCACUCUGAGGCUGAUUGGGAAAGAAACAUAGCCAACUACCUGUUAGAUAGGCCUUUAAUCUGGGAACUUAAGAUGAGCUUUCCUCCCCAGAUCCUGCAGAGCCCAGGGGUGUAGCUUAAAGUUGUCUCUGGGUUUUGAGCAGGAGCGGGAUGGAUAGAGCAGUUAGGAUGUGGGCAACGGAAAUAAUCACAGCUUUCACCUAUGUUUUCACAUGUUUUCCCUUUUGAUGCUUGCAACAGUCUUGCUAAUUAAGCAAGAGUUGUUAGUUCUAUUGUUUAAAAACCUUGCUUAAAGACUAUAAGCACUUUGCUCAAGGUCUUAUAGUUAGGGAAGUGGGAGAAACAGAACUGAAACCCAGAUUUCUAUCUCCAACUCCAUUGUUCUUUCGAUGAUCCGUUUGCAUUGGAAUGGAGGGAGCUAAGGAAUAGGAUAUUGAGGACUCUGGGUCUAGAUUCCUUCAAAGGUGAAAUGGAAGGGGAGGAGCCAUGGGGUGGAUGAUAUCUAGGGUGCCUUUGCAUAGGCUGUAACUUCUGCUGGAAUGCCCUCCUCACUCCUCUUCCUCUACAAAGGGACACUAAUGCUUCUCAUAGAAAGUAAGCUGUACAUUUUGGAGCAGUUUCAGAUUUAUAGAGUUGUUGAAAGACAGCUCAGAGAGUUCCCAUGUACUCACAUCCAAUUUCCCCUAUUAUUAAGAUCUCAUGUUAGUAUGGUGCAUUUGUCACAAUUCAUAAACAAAUAUUAAUAACUUUUAUUAACUAAAGUCCAUCUUUUAUCAAGGCCUUCUCAUUGUUUCCUGGUAUUCUUUUUCUGUUCCAAGUUCCUUUCCAGGAUACCACAUUACAUUUAACAGUUAUAUUUCCAUAGGCUCCUGUUGAUUGUUAGUUUCUCUGACUUUCCUAAUUUUCAAUGACCUUGGCAGUUUUGAGGAUUAUAGUCAGGCAUUUUAUAGAACUCCCUUUCAUUAAGAUUUGGCUGAUGGUUUUCUCAUAAUUAGGUGGGGAUUAUGUAUUUUUGGAAAAAAGUCAACAGAGGUAGAGCACUAUUCUAGUCACAUCAAGGGUAUAUGCUACCAAUAUGGCUUAUCACUUUUGAUGUUAACACUGAUCAGAAACAAACCAACAAAAACAAUAACCUUUAUGUAUAUUCCCAAGUCUGUCUGUCUGUUUCACUUUCUGUUUUUCCUCUCUCUUCUCUGAUGUCAUUGGAAAAACUAAGCCAGGUGUGGUAACCAGUACCUGAAGUUACAUCUAUUCUAGAGGUUGAAAUGGGAGAAUCACUUGAGCCCAGGAGUUGGAGGCUGCAGUGAGCUAUAAUUUUGCCACUACACUCCAGCCUGGAUGACAAAGCAAAAUAAAAAAAAAAAAGUAUAUGAAAGAAUUAUAUCAUUGGAAAACUUAGAAAAAAUGAAAAUUGGAUGAGACGUAAUGGGAAAAAAAAUAUUUCAAAAGAAGGUUGUUUUUAAAAUUGCAUCAGAAAAGUUCAGAAAGGUAAUUUAUGCAGAUCUAUGCACACAAAUCGACAGAAUUGAUGGGGAAAAUAAUUUCUGUUUUUUAUCCCCGAGUAUACUUCACAUGUGUUUACCUCAAAAAUAGUGUGUCAAAUAACUAAAGGCAGAUUUAAGAACUUAAGAAGAAAAGAAAUUUUCAGUUGAAAUCUAAGGACGAGAAUAAUUACACAUCAUUCAGUAAAAUAAGGAUGGAAUUGAUCCUCUCCUGAGGAUUAGUCAAGGGCUUUUCCAACCAGCCUUCUAAAUUUCAUACGGAGUUUGUUUGUUGCUCCUAUUUUCUUUUUCCAUUACAAAUCUACUUCUAUGGAAAAUUCAACUUAAUACUGACUUUUCUAUUUGUAAUGAAAUUUAAGUGAGUUCCUAAAUAAGGGGGAAAAUAGCUGAAAUUAAGCUUCUUUUACACUGUUCAUGAGUCAUUCAUAAUGCAUUUGGGAAUCAGAAUUUUCCCAAAUUUCACCACAUAUUAUAAAUGUCUAUUUCCAUUGCAUUGAGAUUUUCUUAAAUGGCUAUAACCAUAACAUAAUUAUUUGGCAGAAGACAAAUAAAUAUGUGGACAUUAAUAUCAAAGUAUAACUAUAUCUGAUUGAACUUAAGUCUCAAUAAACAUUUGUGCCAUCUACACUAGUCUUUACAAUGUUAAAAAACUCAAGAGUGUUUUAAUUUUUUCAACACUUACGGUCCUGACAGAGUUUGCUCAAGAUUGUAACAUCCUAGGUUGAAAAGGAAACUUAAAAGGCAGUUUGGGGCUGGGCGCAGUUGUUCAUGACUGAAAUCCCAGCAUUUUGGGAGGCCGAGUGGGGCAAGUCACUUGAGGUCAGGAGUUCGAGACCUGCUUGGUAGCAUGAUGAAACUUCAUCUCUACUAAAAACACAACAAUUAGCAGGGUGUGGUGGCAGAUGCCUGCAAUCCCAGCUACUCUGGAGCGUGAUACAGGAGAAUCACUUGAACCCUGGAGGAGGAGGUUGCAGUGAGCUGAGGUCACACCACUGUACACCAGCCUGGGUAACAGAGCCAGAUUCUGUCUCAAAAAAAAAAGUCAGUUUGGCUUGAUGGAAGGUGCAGAAUAAUCAGAUCCUGCCCCUACAUAUAAUGAGGGUAAUGACCUGGAGUUACUCAAUUAGGAGCUAUAGAAUUUCUUUCUCUAAACUGACAGAUAGUACUAGGUGGUCUCUAAGGCCUCAUUCUGUCUCUAUAUAGUUUUACUACAGAGCAUCGUUUCUAAACACAUAAUGCCAAAAUCAUAAACUGUUCAUGAAACAUCUUUCUAUAAAGAUUUCUGGGCACAUGUUCUCAGAAAUUCCCUGUAUAAAACUAAAUUAUCUUCUUUUGUUGAUAAAUUAAUAGUUUAUUAUGUUGAU